rfam:Schistosoma curassoni strain Dakar, Senegal genome assembly, scaffold: SCTD_contig0006179
GCACCGCUGAAGAGUCCCAUACUAGGACGAAACGGCCGUCCAGUGC